UCCUAGUUUUUUUCUCAAUUUUAAUUCUUAUGGAAAUAACACUGAUUGCAACACUAUGUGUCUGGUCUUUAUCCUUGAGUCUGUUUUUUAAGGUUAACCGAGUCACAGAAUCCUAAAGCUGGGGAGCCUCUGCCUUUGCCUUGGGCCCUAAAACUGGACUUUCCCCCCGACUACUUUUCACCCCCAACCUCACCCCUGCGAGACCCACUCUCCAACCCGGGGCACCUGGGUGACGUCCUAUCCUCUGCCAGGCCUGAAGUGACCGAGGCCUCAGGAGGUGAGGGGUGCCAGGACCUGCCUGGCUGGCUGUGCUCCUGACCUCAAGGUCCCACGCCCAACAGUCUUCACUUCGUUGGCUGUCAAACCUCAAACUUCUGAGGCCAGCAGGACAUAAACACUCCCCACGCGACAGACACAGAAACGGAGCCUGAGACCACCCCAAAUUCCCCAAAAUCAACAGCAAGGAAGAGAACUGUAUCCUUGCGGAUGCUCCCAGCCCACGGCACGGAACUGUCUCUCCCGUGGCGACAUGGUCCACCCAGGCCCACCCACCCUUCCCUGCGGAACCGGCAGCGGCCUCUUCCCAUGAUUCAUCACUGGCCCCAGCAUGUUUCCAGUAGCCGGCUCAAAUCCAAAAGUGUUAACCAACUCACUGACACGGCCGACCGACAGUACUGGAACCAAGAGCUUCUCCUGGGCACCAUGGCAUGGUGGUUACCUGGGCUUUGGUAAAGUCCUACCCCUGCUGGGCAGGGCUCCAUUUCAGGGCUGAUGGGCCAUACCCUGGAGUUCCAGAAAGACCAGAAGGAACACAGCGCCUGCGGCCCGAGCAGACGCACCUGCACUGCAGGUCCCAGACCCAGGCACCUGGAGGCAGGAGAGCAGGAGCUGCCAAAGGCCCCCAGCUGGCUCCAGGCCACCCCCCUUCCCCCCCAUCUGGGCGCUGUCACAUAAUUAACUGUGGCCGCUGGACACUUCCCUCCCUUCCAGGGCCGCAGCUGGGAGGAACAAACAUCAAAGUCCACGUCUCCCCCGUCCUCCAAGAUCAAAGCCGCGGGGCUGAGGAGGUCACCACGGCUCCUGCUUGGCUUGUUCUUGCUUUCCAUUUUCUGUGUGGUUUUUCCUAAGAGACCCUUCAGUCCUGGUCCUGCCACUGCUCGAUAACCUAGUCAAAAAGCAACAGGCUCGGGGGCCUCCCUGGUGGCGCAAGGGGUUAAGAUACAACCUAUGAAGCUAUCCACAGCCACUGCAGCAUGAGUCUGAUCCCCGGCUAGGGAGCUACCCACAUGGCGCAGCAGACCUCUCCUGACUCCCCGCUGCUCCCCUCAGCAGUAUUUUCGGUCCUUCUGCCUGUUCUGCUCCCCACUCUGUCUCUGGUGAGUCCUCUCACCCCCCGCACCUCUGGCCUGUACCCCAGUUCUUGUAUGCAUAAAUGAAUAAAUCUUUUCA